rnacentral:lncRNA from 1 species
UGCUGCCUUCGCAAAGUUGUUAACCCCAGCCUGCUGGCCGCCGCUGCCUCCUCUGCCUUGAACCUUCGGUGCCUAUCUCUCCGAUUUCCCCCAGUCGCCCGCAGUUCCUGGGGGAAGCCACCCCAUUCCGCCACCGACCAUGGGAGAAAGUCCGACUUUCCGUCCAUCCAGGAUUUUCAAGAUGUUCGAGGACCCAUAUGCUGCCUGGAAGCUGCCUCUGCCAGACACACGAGUCUCCAGCCUAUAUUGUUACAAUUUUCUCCCCAGAACUGGCUUCUCCUCUGCCUGCGCUGAUGAGAUGAUCCUAAAAUUGGAGAGUUGCGAGUUGGGUCGGGAAGUCCCAGCUCCACAUUGUUCAUUCGCUUGAUGCGGAGUCAGAACUGGAACACAUCUUGCAGAGUAAGAUGUCAUGAAUAACUGCAGUAGAGGCAAGGAAGCUCAGCAUGGACCAGUUUUUAACUUAUUGAGGUAUCCUUCAAUUAUAAAAUUCUCACAUGGCUUAGAAAAGUUUUUGCUUCUUCUUUUUUUAUUAAAGAUUGCAAACAUACAUGAUAACAAGAAAUGAAGAUAAUAAAAAUUUCAAAUAUACAUAUACAUGACAGCAAAAAAAG